rnacentral:rRNA from 1 species
UCCUACGGGUGGCUGCAGUGGGGAAUUUUGGACAAUGGGCGCAAGCCUGAUCCAGCCAUUCCGCGUGCAGGAUGAAGGCCUUCGGGUUGUAAACUGCUUUUGUACGGAACGAAACGGUUCUCUCUAAUACAGGGGGCUAAUGACGGUACCGUAAGAAUAAGCACCGGCUAACUACGUGCCAGCAGCCGCGGUAAUACGUAGGGUGCAAGCGUUAAUCGGAAUUACUGGGCGUAAAGCGUGCGCAGGCGGUUUUGUAAGACAGAGGUGAAAUCCCCGGGCUCAACCUGGGAACUGCCUUUGUGACUGCAAGGCUGGAGUACGGCAGAGGGGGAUGGAAUUCCGCGUGUAGCAGUGAAAUGCGUAGAUAUGCGGAGGAACACCGAUGGCGAUGGCAAUCCCCUGGGCCUGUACUGACGCUCAUGCACGAAAGCGUGGGGAGCAAACAGGAUUAGAUACCCUGGUAGUCC